rnacentral:rRNA from 1 species
UUCUAAGGGCUGUGAAGCCAGACCGGAAGGACUGGUGGAGCGCUUAGAAGUGAGAAUGCCGGUAUGAGUAGCGAAAGAGGGGUGAGAAUCCCCUCCACCGAAUGCCUAAGGUUUCCUGAGGAAGGCUCGUCCGCUCAGGGUUAGUCGGGACCUAAGCCGAGGCCGAAAGGCGUAGGCGAUGGACAACAGGUUGAUAUUCCUGUACCACCUCCUCACCAUUUGAGCAAUGGGGGG